UGGCUCAGAACGAAUGCUGGCGGCAGGCCUAACACAUGCAAGUCGAGCGCCGUAGCAAUACGGAGCGGCAGACGGGAGAGUAACACGUGGGAACGUACCCUUUGGUUCGGAACAACCCAGGGAAACUUGGGCUAAUACCGGAUAAGCCCUUACGGGGAAAGAUUCAUCGCCGAAGGAUCGGCCCGCGUCUGAUUAGCUAGUUGGUGGGGUAAUGUCCCACCAAGGCGACUGUCAAAAGCUGGUCUGAGAGGAUGAUCAGCCUCACUGGGACU
rnacentral:rRNA from 1 species